rnacentral:lncRNA from 1 species
AUGGGAAGAUGGAGGGGAAGACGGCUGGGCAGGACAGAGGGCCUCAGAAGCGCUGGUGCUGAGAGUUCAGUGUGGCUAGGAGUGGGAGGAGAAGCAGGAGCCCAGUUCUACUGCCAGUGUACACGAACUGUCUCGGGUGCCAUUUCAGGGGCAAGAGUUAUUGUCCUCGGGACAGAGGUGAGAAGACUGAAAUGGGAGAAGCAGGUGGAACUUUUAAUGCCACACAGCACACAUGGAAGACAGGAGAUGGGAGAGAUGGGGCACUUUCUGCCAUUGUCUGGGGACACGGGGGCUCCUUGGGUAUCUACUGAUCCCUGGACCGUCCCCAAUCCUUAAAAUGAAAACCCUAAGCACAAGCAGUUUCUUUUUCUUAGGAGCACAGAGCCUUUGUCUCUGACCUCUGAUAAAGCCCCCAGCCCAUGUCCCCUUUCCUGAAGCCGUUCCCUCUGAGAGGGGCAGGCCAUGGGCCAUGGGUGUUUUCCACUGAGGAUCCCAUAAAGAAUGCUGCACGUAAUAUGAAACGCGUGUGGUUCUUUUCUCUGUCCCUC